CAAGUAUUUUCGACCGCAACAUGGAGUGGGAGUAGGUUCUCAAUGAUGUUAUCCCCGACUGUGCGUACACUGGCUGAUGCACCAUGACGAAAGAGUAACUUGAUCAUGUCAACAGAAAACCUUUCGGCAGCUUCAUGGAGCGGGAAGUAUCCAUAUGGGUUAAUGCAGUUGGGAUUGGCAUGGUGUCCAUUGAGCCUUGGUGCCUUGCCCUCCAAUAUAACUUUUGCACAUCGUAGGGCAUCAUAACUGAUCAUGUAAGUUAAGGUUUGUGAGGUGAUGGUAUGUUUCCAUGUCAUACCCCGCUUGCUCACCAAAAAGUUGAGUAAGCACCGGACGCUGUCCUUCUCUAAGAUGGGCCACAAUUGGGGAGAUAGCUCAUAG
rnacentral:rRNA from 1 species